GUCCUGGCUCAGGAUGAACGCUGGCGGCGCGCCUAACACAUGCAAGUCGAACGGCACCUAUCUUCGGAUAGAAGCGAGUGGCGAACGGCUGAGUAACACGUGGAGAACCUGCCCCCUCCCCCGGGAUAGCCGCCCGAAAGGACGGGUAAUACCGGAUACCCCGGGGUGCCGCAUGGCACCCCGGCUAAAGCCCCGACGGGAGGGGAUGGCUCCGCGGCCCAUCAGGUAGACGGCGGGGUGACGGCCCACCGUGCCGACAACGGGUAGCCGGGUUGAG
rnacentral:rRNA from 1 species